rnacentral:rRNA from 1 species
GCAGUAGCCACGGGAAUACGAAGGGUGCAAGCGUUACUCGGAAUUACUGGGCGUAAAGCGUGCGUAGGUGGUGGUUUAAGUCCGUUGUGAAAGCCCUGGGCUCAACCUGGGAAUUGCAGUGGAUACUGGGUCACUAGAGUGUGGUAGAGGAUAGUGGAAUUUCCGGUGUAGCGGUGAAAUGCGUAGAUAUAGGAAGGAACACCAGUGGCGAAGGCGACCACCUGGACUGAUACUGACACUGAGGUGCGAAAGCGUGGGGAGCAAACAGGAUUAGAUACCCCUGUAGUCCCUGUCUCUUAUAC